rnacentral:lncRNA from 1 species
UUCUAUUUAUUCUAUAAAUUCUUCUCAUCUCUACAACUAUUUUCAUCUCUAAAACUCUCAUCAUUGCUGCAAUUGCUCUAGCUGCAUCAAGAUUUCAAUCAUGUCUACAUUUGUUCUUGUUGUUUGGAGUUCUGAUUCUGCACCUCAUAAAGUGCAGAAAAAUGCAUCAGGAAAUCAGAAUUGAUAUAGCAUGAAAACAUGGU